rnacentral:rRNA from 1 species
CCCUUAGAUGUCCGGGGCCGCACGCGCGCUACACUGAAGGAAUCAGCGUGGCUUUCUCCAUGACCCGAAAGGGUUGGGAAACCCGUUGAAUCUCCUUCGUGAUAGGGAUUGGGGCUUGAAAUUGUUCCCCAUGAACGAGGAAUUCCCAGUAAGCGCGAGUCAUAAGCUCGCGUUGAUUACGUCCCUGCCCUUUGUACACACCGCCCGUCGCUACUACCGAUUGAACGGUUUAGUGAGGGCCUCGGAUUGGUCUCGGCCCGCUCUUUACCGGGCGGCGCCGUUGGUCGAGAAGACGCUCGAACUUGAUCGUUUAGAGGAAGUAAAAGUCGUAACA